rnacentral:rRNA from 1 species
GGGUUGUGAGGUUAAGCGACUAAGCGUACACGGUGGAUGCCCUGGCAGUCAGAGGCGAUGAAGGGCGUGCUAAUCUGCGAUAAGCGCCGGUAAGGUGAUAUGAACCGUUAUAACCGGCGAUACCCGAAUGGGGAAACCCAGUGUGAUUCGUCACACUAUCAUUAACUGAAUCCAUAGGUUAAUGAGGCGAACCGGGGGAACUGAAACAUCUAAGUACCCCGAGGAAAAGAAAUCAACCGAGAUUCCCCCAGUAGCGGCGAGCGAACGGGGAGGAGCCCAGAGCCUGAAUCAGCAUGUGUGUUAGUGGAAGCGUCUGGAAAGGCGCGCGAUACAGGGUGACAGCCCCGUACACAAAAGCGCAUGUGCUGUGAGCUCGAUGAGUAGGGCGGGACACGUGGUAUCCUGUCUGAAUAUGGGGGGACCAUCCUCCAAGGCUAAAUACUCCUGACUGACCGAUAGUGAACCAGUACCGUGAGGGAAAGGCGAAAAGAACCCCGGCGAGGGGAGUGAAAAAGAACCUGAAACCGUGUACGUACAAGCAGUGGGAGCACAGGUUUACCUGUGUGACUGCGUACCUUUUGUAUAAUGGGUCAGCGACUUAUAUUCUGUAGCAAGGUUAACCGAAUAGGGGAGCCGGAGGGAAACCGAGUCUUAAUUGGGCGUUAAGUUGCAGGGUAUAGACCCGAAACCCGGUGAUCUAGCCAUGGGCAGGUUGAAGGUUGGGUAACACUAACUGGAGGACCGAACCGACUAAUGUUGAAAAAUUAGCGGAUGACCUGUGGCUGGGGGUGAAAGGCCAAUCAAACCGGGAGAUAGCUGGUUCUCCCCGAAAGCUAUUUAGGUAGCGCCUCGUGAAUUCAUCUCCGGGGGUAGAGCACUGUUUCGGCUAGGGGGCCAUCCCGGCUUACCAACCCGAUGCAAACUGCGAAUACCGGAGAAUGUUAUCACGGGAGACACACGGCGGGUGCUAACGUCCGUCGUGAAGAGGGAAACAACCCAGACCGCCAGCUAAGGUCCCAAAGUCAUGGUUAAGUGGGAAACGAUGUGGGAAGGCCCAGACAGCCAGGAUGUUGGCUUAGAAGCAGCCAUCAUUUAAAGAAAGCGUAAUAGCUCACUGGUCGAGUCGGCCUGCGCGGAAGAUGUAACGGGGCUAAACCAUGCACCGAAGCUGCGGCAGCGAACGUAUCACUUAAAGCGAUUCAGCGGGUUACGAUUGACGGAGCGAAGCGACGUCAAAGCGUAUACAAAGUCGAGUCGGUUUAAGGAUACGUUCGUUGGGUAGGGGAGCGUU